GACCCCGUCGCUGCAGCCUCGCCGCUCGGCAGGCAAAGCCGACCCUCUUUCUCGCGGGCCGAGCGCGAGUGCCUCUCAGGCUAAAGGGGCACCUGGUGACGCUCAAGAAAGCCAGGCGGCAGAGACACGUGGUGGGCGCUUCCGCCUCGAGCUCUUCGGAGAGCCGCGCGCACGAGGAAAAUCUGAGACGUCGCCCAGGGUCGAGCCGUUCCGCUACUUCCUCGUGCCUGCAAAGUUUUCCUCGGUUCCGCCCCCUCGGCGGUCCUCCUUUACGAGCUCGCCUCUCCUCGCUUCGGCUGUACUUCGGACGGCGAGAGGCAGGAAUGCACCGGCAGGUCCAUCCUGGCUUCGGACGUGCUACGCUCGGCGCGGUUCUUCGGCCGAGCCAACGAAGCUGAGACGAAAGAACAAGGAGCCGGAACGCUUCAAAAAUGCAGCAUUGAUCCAAAGGCAGCUGCUGAUCUCCAGAUCUUGCUGAAACUACUGAAUUCUGCAUAAUGAUGUCGUUGGGACACUUAAGCAAGGGAGUCAGCCUUGAUGAACUUAUUGAUACCUGUAUUGAUUCUUUUGAUGCAGAUGGAAACUUGUGUAAAAAUUACCAGCUCCUGUCAGUAAUGUUAACCAUGCAUCGACUUAUCAUCUCCUCCUCUGAGAUACUGCGAAAACUAAUAGAUCUAUAUCCUUUUAUAUUU